GGGCGCAUCGGUCAGCGGUAGGCCUCCGGUCUCCAAAACCGGCAACCGGGGUUCGAGUCCCCGUGCGCCCGCCA
rnacentral:tRNA from 2 species